rnacentral:snoRNA from 2 species
CCACAUAUGAUGAACUACUCGGAUUCCCCUUCAGGACAUUUGGAUGACGCAAAACCGAGUUUCUGAUGUA